AACGAACGCUGGCGGCAUGCCUAACACAUGCAAGUCGAACGAGACCUUCGGGUCUAGUGGCGCACGGGUGCGUAACGCGUGGGAACCUGCCCUUAGGUUCGGAAUAACUCCCCGAAAGGGGUGCUAAUACCGGAUAAUGUCUUCGGACCAAAGAUUUAUCGCCUUUGGAUGGGCCCGCGUUGGAUUAGCUAGUUGGUAGGGUAAAAGCCUACCAAGGCGACGAUCCAUAGCUGGUCUGAGAGGAUGAUCAGCCACACUGGGAAUGAGACACGGCCCAGACUCCUACGGGAGGCAGCAGUGGGGAAUAUUGGACAAGGGGCGAAAGCCUGAUACAGCAAUGCCGCGUGAGUGAUGAAGGCCUUAGGGUUGUAAAGCUCUUUUACCCGGGAUGAUAAUGACAGUAACGGGAGAAUAAGCACCGGCUAACUCCGUG
rnacentral:rRNA from 1 species